rnacentral:rRNA from 1 species
CCAACGCGUUGGGGAGCUUUUCCCAUUAUUGUUCGACCUUGCAGGGCGGCCGGCACUUAGUGAAUUAGAGUUUUGAUCAUGGCUCAGAAUGGAAACGCUGGCGGCAGCCCCUAACACAUGCAAAGUCGAACGGUAGCACAGAGAGCUUUGCUCUUGGGUGACGAGUGGCGGACGGGUGAGUAAAGUCCUGGGAAACUGCCCUGAUGGAGGGGGAUAACCACUGGAAACGGUGGCUAAUACCGCAUAAUCUCGCGAGAGCAAAGUGGGGGACCUUAAUGGCCUCACGCCAUCGGAUGUGCCCAGAUGGGAUUAGCUUGUUGGUGGGGUAAAGGCUCACCAAGGCGACGAUCCCUAGCUGGUCUGAGAGGAUGACCAGCCACACUGGAACUGAGACACGGUCCAGACUCCUACGGGAGGCAGCAGUGCGGAAUAUUGCACAAUGGGCGCAAGCCUGAUGCAGCCAUGCCGCGUGUGUGAAGAAGGCCUUCGGGUUGUAAAGCACUUUCAGCGGGGAGGAAGGUGGUGUGGUUAAGAGCCAUAUCAAUUGACGUUACCCGCAGAAGAAGCACCGGCUAACUCCGUGCCAGCAGCCGCGGUAAUACGGAGGGUGCAAGCGUUAAUCGGAAUUACUGGGCGUAAAGCGCACGCAGGCGGUCUGACAAGUCAGAUGUGAAAUCCCCGGGCUUAACCUGGGAACUGCAUUUGAAACUGUCAGGCUGGAGUCUUGUAGAGGGGGGUAGAAUUCCAGGUGUAGCGGUGAAAUGCGAUAGAGAUCUGGAGGAAUACCGGUGGCGA